CGGCAAACCAAGGACGUUGAAAAUGCCUGCAGCAGAGAGGUGGUGGAAAAGGAGACAUUUUAAGUGUCCUCAUUUUCAAUGUCAUGGCGGUGGUCACCCUAUGUGAGGGGGACGUCUUGGGAGUGUCUAUGCUCUACGUGAAGUUUGUGCUGAAACCUUGGACCAGCCCAUCAACAGCAGUCUGUUCAGUACUGCCUACAGACAGUUCUCUCCUGAUCCCUCCUCCAUUGAACUGCCCCCCUCAAACCCAUCCCAUUCAUCAGCACUCAAACUACAGGCUGUGGCGGUGGUGGCGGCGAAGGUCUGAAUUCCAGAACUGGUUUACUGUAAGGAUGGUCAUGGGUAAGGAUUUGAAAAAAUUCAAUGUCAUCAGUCAUUGUGGCUUUGUUGUUGUACU